rnacentral:rRNA from 1 species
GAUGAACGCUGGCGGCGUGCCUAAUACAUGCAAGUCGAGCGAACAGACGAGGAGCUUGCUCCUCUGACGUUAGCGGCGGACGGGUGAGUAACACGUGGAUAACCUACCUAUAAGGCUGGGAUAACUUCGGGAAACCGGAGCUAAUACCGGAUAAUAUAUUGAACCGCAUGGUUCAAUAGUGAAAGACGGUUUUGCUGUCACUUAUAGAUGGAUCCGCGCCGCAUUAGCUAGUUGGUAAGGUAACGGCUUACCAAGGCAACGAUGCGUAGCCGACCUGAGAGGGUGAUCGGCCACACUGGAACUGAGACACGGUCCAGACUCCUACGGGAGGCAGCAGUAGGGAAUCUUCCGCAAUGGGCGAAAGCUUGACGGAGCAACGCCGCGUGAGUGAUGAAGGUCUUCGGAUCGUAAAACUCUGUUAUUAGGGAAGAACAAAUGUGUAAGUAAAUAUGCACGUCUUGACGGUACCUAAUCAGAAAGCCACGGCUAACUACGUG